AUUGAACGCUGGCGGCAGGCUUAACACAUGCAAGUCGAGCGGAGAUGAGGUGCUUGCACCUUAUCUUAGCGGCGGACGGGUGAGUAAUGCUUAGGAAUCUGCCUAUUAGUGGGGGACAACAUUCCGAAAGGAAUGCUAAUACCGCAUACGUCCUACGGGAGAAAGCAGGGGAUCUUCGGACCUUGCGCUAAUAGAUGAGCCUAAGUCGGAUUAGCUAGUUGGUGGGGUAAAGGCCCAACAAGGCGACGAUCUGUAGCGGGUCUGAGAGGAUGAUCCGCCACACUGGGACGGAGACACGGCCCAGACUCCUACGGGAGGCAGCAGUGGGGAAUAUUGGACAAUGGGGGGAACCCUGAUCCAGCCAUGCCGCGUGUGUGAGGAAGGCCUUAUGGUUGUAAAGCACUUUAAGCGAGGAGGAGGCUACUGAGACUAAUACUCUUGGAUAGUGGACGUUACUCGCAGAAUAAGCACCGGCUAACUCUGUGCCAGCCGCCGCCGUAAGAC
rnacentral:rRNA from 1 species